UUGAUGAUGUCUCUGCUUGGUUUUGUCCAAAGGUCAGCCUCAUCAAAUCUGCAGAAGGAAAUGGGAGAGAUGGAUCCAACUCUGCAUAGGAGGGCAGUAGCUCUACGUGUAAACUCCAGAUGCUUGUACUUUGGUAACAUCACUGGCUGGAGGACUGAGAUCAGAGACUCCCUUCAUUUUAUUCCCUAUUUUCAGCUGCUGUGGUCUUCCUGAACUCUGUCCUCUGUUUCUUCAAGUCAGUAAGAUUGAAGUUUUCCAUCUGAAUUUUAGGCACCUUGUAGUGGUGGUGACUGUCCUUCCCUUAUCUUAAAAUCAUUAAAAGGGAAACUCUCCCAGUGCCAUUGCUUCUUAUAAAUGUUGACUGCUCCCAUUUCAUUUUCUGGAUGCUUUUGGCCACUCCAAGAAGGUUUUGUUUUAUUUUUUUAUUGCGGUAAAAACUAACAAGAUAUAACCCCGCUUAACAAGACUUGAAGUGUACACUACAGUAUUGUUAACUAUAGCACAAUUUGUACAGCUGAUCUCGGGAACUUAUCCAUUUUCAAUAUAUGAAACUUUUAGAUUCUUAGAUGUCCUUUGGGGUUAAGAACCAUGAUUAGAGAAUGUAUCCAGGAGAGGAAUUUUUGUGUCAUAGUUUAUACACAUAUUUAUCUUUUUUGUAAUUUUUUUUGUUUAAUAAAAAAAUUAUUGGUUUGAUUUUGGGAUAUAUAUUCAUCUUUGCUAAUUUUCCGAAUUUGUACCUUAACAGAAGUGUAUGAGGGCCCCUUUUGCACCAUAUUCUUGUCAAUGCAAUCUAAUCUGGUUAGUUUGGAGAAGCAUUCUUUCAACCUCACAUAACAAUGGAUAUCAUUUGAAGGGUGUUGGAAAUUAUAUAAGAUAGACAUGAGAAACACUCUGCCUGAAGAUAUUUCUACUUGGUUUUGUCACAAGGUUAGUUAGGUUCAUGCAAAUCUGCAAAAGGAAGAAGGAUAGAUGGAGUCAUAUACUGGCCCAAAAGGGCAGUGAGGGAAGUUACUGCAUAUAUAAACUCUGCACAUUUAUAAGUUGUUGCUGCACCCCUGUGCAGGUACUUUGAGAAGUCCUUUGUAAACACUGCUGAAGGUAUUGUAUUUUCUAUUAUAUUCUGAGGCCACUAGAUGGUAGCAUAGACUAGCUUUUUCUUCAUCCUUUCGUUGAGUCCAUACCUGGAAGUGGAAUUAAGGGAUUAACUUUACCUGAUCUUGCUUAUUUGCUCUUCAAAGUGUUAA